CGGGGCGUGGCGCAGUCCGGUUUAGCGCACUUGACUGGGGGUCAAGGGGUCGCUGGUUCAAAUCCAGUCGCCCCGACCA
rnacentral:tRNA from 1 species